rnacentral:rRNA from 1 species
UACGGAGGGUGCGAGCGUUGUCCGGAAUCACUGGGCGUAAAGGGCGCGUAGGUGGCGCAGGAAGUCAACGGUGAAAGUUCGGGGCUCAACCCUGAAUCGGCCGUCGAUACUCCUGGGCUCGAGCACUGUAGGAGGCAGAUGGAAUUCCGGGUGUAGCGGUGGAAUGGACGUAGGAGAAUCCGGAGAACACCGGUGGCGAAAGGCGGGAUCUGCCUGGGCGCGAGGC